rnacentral:rRNA from 1 species
UACGGGGGGGGCAAGGGUUGUUCGGAAUUACUGGGCGUAAAGGGCUCGUAGGCGGCCAACUAAGUCGGAUGUGAAAUCCCCAGGCUUAACCUGGGAACUGCAUCCGAUACUGGAUGGCUUGAAUCCGGGAGAGGGAUGCAGAAUUCCAGGUGUAGCGGUGAAAUGCGUAGAUAUCUGGAGGAACACCGGUGGCGAAGGCGGCAUCCUGGACCGAUACUGACGCUGAUGAGCGAAAGCCAGGGGAGCAAACGGG